rnacentral:misc_RNA from 1 species
GAUGAAGAACGUAGCGAAAUGCGAUAAGUAGUGUGAAUUGCAGAAUUCAGUGAAUCAUCGAAUCUUUGAACGCACAUUGCGCCCCAUGGUAUUCCGUGGGGCAUGCCUGUUCGAGCGUCAUUUACCCCCUCGAGCUCCGCUUGGUGUUGGGCGUCUGUCCCGCUUCGCGCGCGGACUCGCCCCAAAGGUAUUGGCAGCGGUCGUGCCAGCUUCUCGCGCAGCACAUUGCGCUUCUCGAGGCACCGGUGGGCCCGCGUCCAUCAAGCUCACCCCCCCAGUUUGACCUCGGAUCAGGUAGGGAUACCCGCUGAACUUAAGCGUAUCAAUAAGCGGAGGA